rnacentral:rRNA from 1 species
CGCAGCCGCGGUAAUUCCAGCUCCAAUAGCGUAUAUUAAAGUUGUUGCAGUUAAAAAGCUCGUAGUUGAAUUUCGGGGUCAGUAGGUUGGUCAUGCCACUGGUAUGUACUGGUCUCACUGAUUCCUCCUUCCUGAUGAACUGUAAUGCCAUUAAUUUGGUGUUGCAGGGAAUCUGGACUGUUACUUUGAAAAAAUUAGAGUGUUUAAAGCGGGCUAACGCCUGAAUACAUUAGCAUGGAAUAAUGAAAUAGGACGUUCGAUCCUAUUUUGUUGGUUUCUAGGAUUGACGUAAUGAUUAAUAGGGAUAGUUGGGGGCAUUAGUAUUCAAUUGUCAGAGGUGAAAUUCUUGGAUUUAUUGAAGACUAACUACUGCGAAAGCAUUUGCCAAGGAUGUUUUCAUUAAUCAAGAACGAAAGUUAGGGGAUCGAAGACGAUCAGAUACCGUCGUAGUCUUAACCAUAAACUAUGCCGACUAGGGAUCGGAUGAUGUUAAUUUUUUAAUGACUCAUUCGGC